rnacentral:SRP_RNA from 1 species
GCCAGGCACAGUGGCUUGCCUGUAGUCCCACUACUUGGAAGGCUGAGGUGGGAGGAUUGCUUGAGCCCAAGAGUUCUGGGUUGUAGUGUGCUAUGCCAGUCAGGUGUCCACACUAAGUUCGGCAUCAAUAUGGUGACCUCCCAGGAGCGGGAGACCACCAGGUUGCCUAAGGAGGGGUGAACCAGCCCAGGUCAGAAUCGGAGCAGGUCAAAACUCCUGUGCUGAUCAGUAGUGGGAUCGCACCUGUGAAUAGCCACUGCACUCCAGCCUGGGCAACAUAGCGAGACCCCAUCUCU